AAUCGGUACUACAGCCUAUGCAAGUCCACGUCUUCUAGCUUCCAUAUAACAGUUUUUAUUUUAAAGGCAUUUUUCGGCGGUUUUUUUUUUUAAUUUUCCAAGUGGUGGAGGUAUUAAGCUCGUUCCGGUCGAACUUAGAUGCUUUUUAUUUUUUAUUUGGAUAUAUUAAGUUCAUCAUUUUGGAGAUGAAGCUGCAUUUUUCUCAGAUUUUGCAAUUGCUUGGCAGGGAGCAGACGCUUAGGAUACUCGUUCGUUCUAGUCAAAAGGCUUUCAGAAUUGAAUAUUGUUUGUCAAAAUUUUGUAAAAAUUAAAAAGAAAUAGAAAAUGGAAAGAAAUACAUUUAAAAUAUUUCUCUUAAAGUUUUUUAGAUGAUUGAACAUUUUGCCACAAAUUAUUUGAAGUCAGACGCAAAUGGAUUGAUCGGAUGUACAGCAAGAUUUCCAUUUCAAAGAAAUCGAACCUUCAAAAUGGGAAUAUGUACGGCCUACAUGUCACAGUGCCCCUAAGUCCAGAAGUCUAUAAGGCUUGAAUUGAAUUGAUUGAUUGAUUUUGCCACAAGUUUAAAUAGAAAGCAAACCUUCAAAAUGGGAAUAUUUACGGCCUACGUAUCACAGGUCUACAGAUAUCUAAAAAUAUAUACAAAUCCACAAAGUCUGCCCAACCGAAAUUGCCAAUUUUAUCGUGUCCCAGAAGAAUCGUGGAAUUCACAGCUGUUCGAAGGAUCCAACCGGAGAGUUAAUCUUUGGGGACUGAGGCUUACCACUAUGCCUAGAAUUGAAGAGCCUACACUUGCACACAAAUGUUACAUCCAUCCAUUUUGCAAUUUUUUAGAUGAUUGAACAUUUUGCCACAAAUUAUUUGAAGUCAGACGCAAAUGGAUUGAUCGGAUGUACAGCAAGAUUUCCAUUUCAAAGAAAUCGAACCUUCAAAAUGGGAAUAUGUACGGCCUACAUGUCACAGUGCCCCUAAGUCCAGAAGUCUAUAAGGUAGGCG